CAUGUAGGAAUUUAAAAGUUGAACAAACUUCUUUUUUUAACUGCUUCAUUAAAAAAGAAUCCUAAUCCAACAUCGAGGUCGCAAACUAUUUUAUCUAUAAGAACUAUCCAAAAUUAUUACGCUGUUAUCCCUAGAGUAUUUUUUUCAUUAAAUCACUAAAUAAUGGAUCCAAAUUAACUUAUUAUUAAAAGAUAGUUAUUCUUUUUCUGUCGCCCCAACAAAAUUAAUAUAAAAUUAAUUACUAAUAUAAAUAUUAAUCUAAAAUUCAUAGGGUCUUCUUGUCCCUAAUUUUUAUUUUUGCUUCCUCACAAAAAAAUUAAAUUUAAUUUUUAAAAUAAAGAAAGUUAUUAAUUGUUAAAUCAUUCUCUUAGCACUCAUUUAAAAUCUUAUUUCAAUACCUUCGUAUAGUCAAAAUACCACAGCAAUUUAAAAAUUUCAUUGAGCAGAUUUUACAUUUUAUUAAUUUCAAAAUGAAAUGUUUUUGU
rnacentral:rRNA from 1 species